UACGGAGGUCCCGAGCGUUGUUCGGAAUUACUGGGCGUAAAGGGGGCGCAGGCGGACAGGUCAGUGGAAAGUGGAAUCCCGGGGCUCAACCCCGGAAAGCCUUUCCAUACUGCCUGUCUUGAGUACGUGAGAGGAGAGCGGAAUUCAGGGUGUAGCGGUGAAAUGCUUAGAUAUCCUGAGGAACACCGAUGGCGAAAGCAGCUCUCUGGCACGCUACUGACGCUGAGGCCCGAAAGCGUGGGGAGCGAACGGG
rnacentral:rRNA from 1 species